UACGAAGGUGGCAAGCGUUGUUCGGAUUUACUGGGCGUACAGGGAGCGUAGGCGGUUGGGUAAGCCCUCCGUGAAAUCUCCGGGCCUAACCCGGAAAGUGCGGAGGGGACUGCUCGGCUAGAGGAUGGGAGAGGAGCGCGGAAUUCCCGGUGUAGCGGUGAAAUGCGUAGAGAUCGGGAGGAAGGCCGGUGGCGAAGGCGGCGCUCUGGAACAUAUCUGACGCUGAGGCUCGAAAGCGUGGGGAGCAAACAGG
rnacentral:rRNA from 1 species